rnacentral:rRNA from 1 species
UACGAAGGGGGCUAGCGUUGCUCGGAAUCACUGGGCGUAAAGGGUGCGUAGGCGGGUCUUUAAGUCGGGGGUGAAAUCCUGGAGCUCAACUCCAGAACUGCCUUCGAUACUGGCGAUCUUGAGUCCGGGAGAGGUGAGUGGAACUCCGAGUGUAGAGGUGAAAUUCGUAGAUAUUCGCAAGAACACCAGUGGCGAAGGCGGCUCACUGGCCCGGUACUGACGCUGAGGUGCGAAAGCGUGGGGAGCAAACAGG